AAGCAGCUCUUUCGCCUUUUUGUUGGGAAUCUGGGAAGAAGCCAGGAAGUUUCUGCAGCUUCAAGAUGAACUGAGGUGCCCAGAAAUGCCUACGGAGGCCCAGAUAAAAACUGCAAAAGAAAAAAGGCGGUCACAGAUCUUAUGGCAGUAGAACUCGGAUAGAAGUGCCCCAACAAAAAAUUUGCAAUUACGACUUUCAAUCUCCAACCGAAUUCGAUCCCAAACACAAACUUCUAAAACAUACACAAAUAUGCGAACGACUUCCCGAUUCCGAUCUAAGUUCAGAACUGAUAUGACGGAUGAAAUGAAAGCUUGAAUACUUAAAUCUAAUCGAUUCAAACCAAAAUAACAACAGAUUCAGAGGUCCGUAGACUAUACGUAUACAGAUACAUGACUAACCCGUUUGAGCGGAGGCUGGAAUGGUUAUGGUGAACUGUAUCGAGGCCUGAAAUGAUGACUUGGAGAGAUCUAGGCUUGUUUGCUUUGCUGGGUGCAAUUUGGUUCGGCAAUUCUCGAUCCCUC
rnacentral:lncRNA from 1 species